rnacentral:rRNA from 1 species
AUUGAACGCUGGCGGCAGGCCUAACACAUGCAAGUCGAGCGGUAGCACAGAGAGCUUGCUCCCGGGUGACGAGCGGCGGACGGGUGAGUAAUGUCUGGGAAACUGCCUGAUGGAGGGGGAUAACUACUGGAAACGGUAGCUAAUACCGCAUAACGUCGCAAGACCAAAGUGGGGGACCUUCGGGCCUCAUGCCAUCAGAUGUGCCCAGAUGGGAUUAGCUAGUAGGUGGGGUAAUGGCUCACCUAGGCGACGAUCCCUAGCUGGUCUGAGAGGAUGACCAGCCACACUGGAACUGAGACACGGUCCAGACUCCUACGGGAGGCAGCAGUGGGGAAUAUUGCACAAUGGGCGCAAGCCUGAUGCAGCCAUGCCGCGUGUGUGAAGAAGGCCUUCGGGUUGUAAAGCACUUUCAGCGGGGAGGAAGGCGACAAGGUUAAUAACCUCAUCGAUUGACGUUACCCGCAGAAGAAGCACCGGCUAACUCCGUGCCAGCAGCCGCGGUAAUACGGAGGGUGCAAGCGUUAAUCGGAAUUACUGGGCGUAAAGCGCACGCAGGCGGUCUGUCAAGUCGGAUGUGAAAUCCCCGGGCUCAACCUGGGAACUGCAUUCGAAACUGGCAGGCUAGAGUCUUGUAGAGGGGGGUAGAAUUCCAGGUGUAGCGGUGAAAUGCGUAGAGAUCUGGAGGAAUACCGGUGGCGAAGGCGGCCCCCUGGACAAAGACUGACGCUCAGGUGCGAAAGCGUGGGGAGCAAACAGGAUUAGAUACCCUGGUAGUCCACGCCGUAAGCGAUGUCGAUUUGGAGGUUGUGCCCUUGAGGCGUGGCUUCCGGAGCUAACGCGUUAAAUCGACCGCCUGGGGAGUACGGCCGCAAGGUUAAACUCAAAUGAAUUGACGGGGGCCCGCACAAGCGGUGGAGCAUGUGGUUUAAUUCGAUGCAACGCGAAGAACCUUACCUGGUCUUGACAUCCACAGAACUUUCCAGAGAUGGAUUGGUGCCUUCGGGAACUGUGAGACAGGUGCUGCAUGGCUGUCGUCAGCUCGUGUUGUGAAAUGUUGGGUUAAGUCCCGCAACGAGCGCAACCCUUAUCCUUUGUUGCCAGCGGUCCGGCCGGGAACUCAAAGGAGACUGCCAGUGAUAAACUGGAGGAAGGUGGGGAUGACGUCAAGUCAUCAUGGCCCUUACGACCAGGGCUACACACGUGCUACAAUGGCAUAUACAAAGAGAAGCGACCUCGCGAGAGCAAGCGGACCUCAUAAAGUAUGUCGUAGUCCGGAUUGGAGUCUGCAACUCGACUCCAUGAAGUCGGAAUCGCUAGUAAUCGUAGAUCAGAAUGCUACGGUGAAUACGUUCCCGGGCCU